AUUUUAUCUGCUACCGAGCUUUGGAGCGGCCCCGGUGCCAUGGAGCAACACAAGGCUGAAAGCUAGAAGCGUCUGGAUGAAGCUGCUCCCUGGCGAAUGAGCCAACAACACUUAUGGAAGGCCCGGUUCAUUUUGAAGAACACCUGGAAUAGAAGCUCCCUCGGCACCAGAUAUGGACGCAGGAUGCUGCCUCGGCUGGGUUGGCUGAAAACUACAUGGACAUUUUACUCUGCUC